ACAAUUUUUCUGUGUGCUCACACAUUUCUGUGCUUUGAGUCUUUAAACAUCUAUGGUGUUAGAAAUAUUAUGUAAGAAAUAAGAGUAGGAUUAAUUGCUGAAGAAUUGAUUAAAAAGGAACAGUGAAAUGUUGAUUUUAAAAAUCAUUCAGAUUGCAUACUUUAAAAAAAUACAAAGAUUUUAAGUCAGAUGAAUAGUCAGCAAACUUGGCUAGACAUUUUGCAAGGGAGGUUAUUAAAGUUGCAUUUUGUAUGUCAAUAACACUAUGCAUAAUUAAGUUAGGUAACUUCAAAUCUGGAGGAGAUGCAGAUUUUCUUUAUUCAUCUUUGAUGUAAUUGACAGUGGCAUCCAUAACAGAGUUUCUUGCAGGUUUUCUGAAGUUUCUAAUGUUUUUCGUAAAACAUAGCUCUCUCAUAAUGCAAAUUUGGCUUAAUGUGAAAAUGUAUUUUAAUAUGAUAUAUUAUGAUAAUUUUGAGGCUUUCGUGGCCUUUUUUCUUUUUUGGACCUGAAGAUGAUGAAAAUGGUGGUGGUCUCACUGUAUUACUGCUUCGUAGUAGUUGUUUUGAUGACAUAAAAGAAAUCUCUACUCCAGAACUUGGAAGUAUUGGAGGCUGUAACAGAAGAGCUGAGCUGUAAGACUUCUUUAACAUGAGUAAACAUGCUGUUUGCUGGCAAUUUUUGUACAUAGUUGGACUGGUGGUAUCUGACACUUCUCAGAAAUGAGCUUGGAAUGACAUGAGAUUCUUAGUUCAAACAAGUUUUGUUUGGCAGAAGGAGCGCAAAUUAGAUCAAGGUUUUGUAAUGGAAGGAUAUGGAUAAUUGUAGAUGUGAGCAUUACUACCAAUUCCUCCCACAGCAGUGAAAUAAUAAACCUGUUUGAAAUGAUGUUCACUGUUUGGCUGAUUAAAACAGUUCAAUUCUGUACUCACUUGAACAUCUCCAAUGCUUUUUGAAUUAACUGUAAUAUAACAUUUAAAAAGUUUACAUUUCUGUUUGAUUCCUGAUGAGUUCAUUGUAACAACUAUGAGAUUUGCAUUACUACAAGCUUGAAGUAACUGUUUAGAGAAGAAAAUGAAAUUUGACCUCAACUCUUCAACAUUAAGCUGAGUCUUAGUUUUAGCUCUUUCCAGACUACUUCACUCUUGAACUCUAGCCACAGCUCUGACAUGAGGCUGCAAUUUCACAUAUGCCUUCAACUGACAUAAGCGAAAACUGCUGCCAAAAAACAGUUCCUAUUCUCCAUGUCUCUGGCAGCUUCUGUUUUCUCUACCACCCUGUAAGGGAGUGUAGAAAAAUUCUUUGUUCAAAUGCAUGAGAGUCUAUUAGUAUCCUUGAGCAGUUUAUCGUGGAGUUGCACAAAUAACCACUUGUGUCCUGCCGCAGCUCAAAGGAUCAUUCUGAGGACAGAAUUGAGCAUCUGCAGGCAAAAAGAAGUCAAACUGCCUUUUGAAGAAGUGCUUUUCUGUGGCAGUUGUAGUAGUUACUGAUAUAUUACAGUCUGAGCCAGGGGUAUUCUGAAGUUCUCAAUCCCUUCAGCUACUAAACAGUUCAACUCCUUACCACCUAAUAAAUUUCAGGAUGGAGAGAAGAAACUAAGUUAAGCUGAUUUAUUAUUUAUUUGACUUUCUUGAUGGAAAAAAGUAAGCUGAAGAUGCAGAAGGAGGACUUAGUUGACUUGAAUCAAAUGGAAGAAGUAUAAGUUCUGAGCAUCAUCUAGUAAAACGAUGGAGGAUUGCUUUACAAAGAGUGUGUAAGAUACAGUGUCUUAGAGCUUUGGUGCUUUGCUGCUUGUCAUAAGUAAUGUGUUCUGUUACAUCUGUUGUGCGAGGAGCACUGUAAGGGAAAACAAAGGGAAAAUGGCAUAUUAGAACUUGAGAGAAUACUUCAGGAGUUGCCCUGUGGAAAGGUUCCAUCUCUUACAUAAUUGGUAGAACUUUUCCAAGGGCAUCUCCUGAAGUCUGGGCAGAGGAUCUGCCCACACUGUAUUCUGAAAUGAUAUGAUAUGUCAUUGCAAUUGUAAAGAAUUUGUUUUGAGUAGUGAAGAUCUAAGUUUUUAGUCUACCUUUACAGGAAAGUACACAAUACUGGAUCUUACUUUUCCAUUUCCUUAUUCUUAUGAUUCUCUUAGAAUGUCUUAAAGUUUUCAUCAGGUCAAAUGUAGCAUGCAGUGUGGAGGCGUGUCACAAAUGAGUGCCAGCACUGAAAUAGUAGAGCUUUUUGUCUCUGCCUCUGUUUAGUAGCCUUGCUCACUGCUAAAAUGCAAUUAUAUUUUGGGUCUCUAGUGCAUCUAUUACACUCAAUUAUCAUUGAGUGCUAGGUUUCAUUGGGAUAGUAUCUUAGAUGAUGGCUUUUAAACUGUUCUCUCAUGCCACUGCUUGGCAUGGUGGAGCACAACAAGUUUUUUAACCGGGGAGUUACAGUCAGUCAGACCUUGGUCAAUUGUCUUAAAACUGUUGAUGUAAGCUAAAUUUCUGGUAGUUCUAAUUUUGCUGCAUAGAAAAUGUUUUAUAUUUAAAGGAAAUCUAAAAUUGUACCCUAGUGCUUUUUAUUUCCCCUGAGGUAUGCUAAUUUGUUAAGAAGCCAUUUGUCAAUUGCUGUGUUUUUUAUUUGGUUUUGUUUGUUUCCUGUAGUUUAUCUGAAAAGUUAGGAAAUAAGGAACUGUUUUAAAUGAGGAACUUGCAUUUUUAAAAAAUUAGAAAGCGUUAUUUAUUUCUGUGGGCUUUGUGUGUGUGCAUGCUGGUGUAAAUGCCACAUAUUUUUAAAAAAUGCAUCUUGCUGUGCUUUUUCUGCGUUAAUUUGAUAAUUAACAUCCUUUCAUUUUAAAGCAGUGUGAAUAAAAAGUAGCAUAAAAAUUGAAUGGAUAGGGAAAUAAAUUACAAGAGAAAAAUCAGAUUCAAAUAAAAACUUUCUGCUAUGUUGCUAAUACUGUGGUGGUUAAGAUGCAGUGGAAGUUACCACUAGUCAGUAGACAGCCAUAACUGAAGUAGAGUGUGCUGGCUAGAGACAUUUCCCUUGAGACUGUACACUGUUUUUACCUUGUGUUUGCUGAAAAUUUGGACUGUACAUAUAAACACGACAGAUUAUUUGAAUUUAGACAUUUAGACAAUUAGGCAUUUAGACAUGUGCUAUACCUAGCAAAUGAAUUAAGAAAUGCAAAACAGCACUUUCUGUCCUGAUAAGUACACAAGAUAACUAUUGUUUUUUGACAUUUUGAAUCCUUUUUUUUUUUUUUUAAUAUAUUUUCUGAUUUGUCAGGUAAAAUCAGAUGAAGGUGUGAAUGGAAAUUUCUUUGCUGCCAGAUAAUUCAAAUCAUAACUUCUUUAGAUGUCUGGAGUCACUGGAGUUUGCUUGUGUGAAAAUGUUAAGAUGCUCUGUAAAUCAGUUCUGUGUAUUUAACUGUUGUAUAUUACAGCAUGAUUUAAAUAAUCUUUAUGGUUUCUUGGUGUUGUUUAAUAUGAAACUGUGACAAGAUUAUAGAUGCUUGUAUCAAGUAGUGAACUUUUUUUUUUUUUUUUCAGAUGUUAUUUUGAACCUAACUUAAUGGUUAACAUGUUUGUAGUAAAAUGAACAGGGCUGUGACAAUGUUAGUCAAUUCUAGACACUGCUCUAUGUUUAUGUUAGAACACAGAUCACCUGGAGGAAGCAUAAACACUUACAGAUUCUGUGUUUCCUGAAAUGCAAAACUGUAUUUUAGUAGCGCCAUUGGAUUUGAAUCAUUACUUGCAAGCCUGAUGGUAAGUGUCUUUUGAGGAUGAAGAGGGGCUGGAGCCGAGGAUUCCCAUGGUUAAGUACAUAAAAUGAUAAAAGGCAGGGUUUUCCAGAGUAGAAGGCACCAGACUGUCCCUGCAGGAAACAUCAGACAAAGGUGAGAGGAAGGAUGGAGAGUCAAGUUCACGAUUAACUAGGGUUUGUAGCAAAAAGACUGAAAGUUGUAUUAUUUUGCAGAGGUGUGUAACAAGCUUGUGUUCUUGACUUUAUAGUAAAAACAAGAUAAAAACCUCCUUUAUGAAGGUUUUGGGUUUUUUUUUUCUAAUGUUGUUCGUCAAGGUUUCAGUUAGGCAGUUGUAGUGCCCAUCACAGAUGAACAUCUUUAUCUGUACUUUCAAACAGUGAAUAAGUAGAUGAGUCUUGGAAGUGCAGAAUGCACACUUAGGCUCCAUGCAGCCCUUAAAUCCAUACCAGCUAUGGAAAUCUGUAUUUGGGAGUGCAUCUGAAGAUUCAAAAACCCACUCAUUCAGAUCAGAAGUUUUUAGAACUUCAGACAUGAAAUAGUUUGUGAGAUCACAGAGGAAUCCCACAGGAAUACGUUGGGCCAGGGUAGAACAGUAUAUUCUCUGUCUGCUGUUGGUUUGCUUUUUUUGAAAUUUGAAACAGGCUGUUGUUAAAUUUGCUCAUAGGAAACGCAAGUAUCCAAAGUAAGGGAAGAGUAUUGUCUUUUUUCACUGAUUUGCAUCAUAUUACUUUAAAAAUACAAUGGCAAAAAUAAUGCAAAUUGGUUAAUUUACUAAAUGAGUUUUUAAAACUUUCUCUCUGUGUAAAAAAGUUGGAAAUAUUACCGCCUGUUGGUGGUAGAGGCGCUGUGUUACUACAAGGUUGCGCAGGGAUUUUACUGGGUUAAAUUUUCUUCAGUUUUUAGCUUGAUUUAGGCUUCUUUUCCAUAUUCUUUUCCCUUCUCAUUCCUUCCUUCUUAUUCCUUCCCCAGUGAAAUACGAGGGCUGCUCCAAAAGUAAUGCUCCUAUUUUAUUAUAUUGUCCCACAAUAUCAGAGGCAGAUGUUGGUGGUACAGCAGUAGAGCUUGCACCUUUCCUCCAGUAUUCCAUUACGUGUUGUUGCCCUGUGAUAGAUGCCAGCAGAGGGGCACUCUGACAGAACGGCGUCUGGCAUGGAUGCGCUUACAGAGCAAAGUUGUGGAAUUGAAUUUCUCCAUGCAUGGAUAUUCAUUCAUUCAGUACUCACUGAUAUUCAUAGACACUUGCUGAAUGCUUAUGGAGACGAAGCAGUGGAUGUGAGCACAGUGAGGUAGUGUGUGGUGCAUUUCAGCAAUGGUGACAGCACAACUAGGUCACUUCCAUUAGAGCAGAUUUUUGUGAGCACGGCAUGCAGCCUCCUGUUAAUCACUGCCAAAGAUGCAUACCUAUUGGUGUUGACUGUGUUGAAAUCCAGUAUUUUGUAGCUGAGAAUUUGCUAUAUCAAAUAAUUUUAUUGUACUGCGUUGUGGUUUCCAUGGAAAUAAACAGGAGGCAUUAUUUUUUGGAGCAACC